GUGGGUGCAGCCAGAUAAUGGCAUAAAAGCAGGCCACCCGAGCCAGCAGCGGCAACCCUCUUGGGUCCCCUUCCAUGCUGUGGAAGCUUCGCUCUUUCGCUUUUCACAAUAAAUCUUGCUGCUGCUCACUCUUUGGGUCCACACCACCUUUAUGAGCUAUAACACUCACUGCGAAGGUCUGUAACUUCACUCCUGAAGCCAGCGAGACCACGAACCCACUGGGAGGAAUGAGCAACUCCAGAUGCACUGCCUUUAAGAGCUGUAACACUCACUGCAAAGGUCUGCAGCUUCACUCCUGAAGUCAGUGAGACCACGAACCCACCAGAAGGAAGAAACUCUGGACACAUCUGAACAUCUAAAGGAACAAACUCCGGAACAAACUCCAGACACACCAUCUUUAAGAACUGUAACACUCACCACGAGGGUUUGCGGCUUCAUUCUUGAAGUCAGCGAGACCAAGAACCCACCAAUUCCGGACACAUUUUGGCAACCAUGAAGGGACUUUUAAUUGCCAUGCAGUGAGACUUUCACCUAUCACCAAGCGGUCACCCUGCAAAAUGAUGAGAGAAGAGAAAAGGUGGGACAAUCUGGUGAAAUCAGGGCAGUGGACUAUGGAAUGAGAUGAGAAACUUGUGUUAAUGACAACUAAAUUACUGGCCCAGUGAUUCCCUUUUUCUCCCUUCAUUAAUAUCUACAAGAAACCAGUAUUUCCAGUGCAUUGGCCUCGUUUGAUGUUAGGACCUGGAAGAAAAAGAUAGAACAGCACAGUUGAAAAGAAAACCUCUGUGGAAGCAACCCAGAUGCCCAUUGAUGGACGACUGGAUCAAAAACAUGUGGUGUCAGCCCAAGAGAAGUUAAAGCACAUGCCCAUACCAAUAUUUUCAUGUGAAUAACACUCUCCAUAAUAACCAAAAAGUGGAAACAGUACAAAUCUCCAACAACUGCUGAAUGGAUAUACAAAAUGUGGUAUAUCCCUACAAUGGAAUACUAUUCAGUAAUGAAAAAGGAAAGAAGGACGGAUACAUGCAACAACAUGGAAUAAUCUCCAAAACCUUAUGCCAACAGAAAAAAGGU
rnacentral:lncRNA from 10 species